GCCGCCGCUUGGGUCACAGUGAAAGCCACCGUUGCCCGGGGAUGGGUCCCUGACACUUGGGGAAGUAGGAGCCCUGUGUGAUCGUGCGUCUGAGUCUGGGCUGAGACCAGUCCUGGCCAGGGCAGUUACCAGGACGGUCUCCGGAGGCCGGGAUUCGCGGAGGGUCCAGCAGCAGGAAGAAACCCCAGGAGGAAGAAACCUCAGACAGAUCGCCGGCGAGGCAGCGCGGGAUCCCAGCCUCUGGCGUGCGCGGACGGUGUGCGGGUGAGUCUCCCCAAAAGUGGAGCCCUUGUGAUGACGAGCACAGGUCCGCCUGUGUGCCCGUGGGCUGCUCUCUCACCGGUGGCUCGUAGUCGCGUAAAGCAGAAGUAGCAGUUUCAGCGGCUGACACUAAGAACAAUGCAUACUGGCAAAGUGAGGUGUCUCACAUCUUUAAUCCCAGCAGUUUGGGAGGCUGAGGCGGAUGGAUCACUUGAGGUCAGGGGAUCACACCAGCCUAACCAACAUGAUGAAACUCCGCGUCUACUAAAAAAAAGUACCAGACAGUUAGCGCGGUGUGGUGGCAUAUGCCUGUAAAUCCCAGCUAUUUGGGAGGCUGAGGCAGGAGAAUCGGUUGAACCAGUGUGGCCGAGGUUGCAGUGAGUGUAGAUUGCACCACUGCACUCUAGCCUGGGUAACAAGCACAAAACUCUGUCUCAAAAAAAAAAAAAAAAUUAUCAGUGCAGAGUUAGGCCAGAUUCAUUUUCAGAGUAGGAGGGAAUUUCAAAUUAUGGGUGAAAUGUCCCAACUGCCGGAAGGUGAAAGUGUUCUGUGAUGUAAAAUUUAGGUCACACUCUAUAAAGCUUCUCCUUAUUCUAUGUGUGAACAGCUAGUCUGUAUCUUCACCUAUGCAUAUUUAAAAAUCAACCUUACGAAGGCUCUUGGCCACCAUAAUCCUUCCUACCCUGUAGCAAGAGCCCAGCCUCAGACUAUGUUUCCUUCUGCCUCCGAGUGCAAUGCCUUCCCCCGAGUCUCCAAGGUACCAAACCGGUCAGGGGCAGCUGAGACAGCUCUACUUGUACGAGUCCUCCCCAAGCCCUUGAAAUCACAGGCAUCUCUGCUGUCCCUGCCCUUUAUCCACAUCACUGAACAAUUAAGCACACACAUCUGUGUAGUUUUAUUUAAACUGUUCCAUGUGUGUUUGUUUACAAUUAACAACAUGAAUGACUGCAGUAUGGAUGCAGCAGAAAGGAAUGCUGAGGGAGGACUCCAGUUGGAAUGAGCCACUUUUCCAGGACUAGGAAUGAACUUUCCCCAGUACCAACAAGGCAGCCUCCAGGGCAAGAAAUGGUAACAGAAUCCAUCCUGUUGACAGUCAAGAUGGAAUUACAGAGAAUUCUCACCUCUUUUUUGACUCUCAGGUGGAAACCCCCUUCCCAUGGGGUGAAGCGCAGUCUGCUCCAGAGACCCACUGUUAGGGUCGGGGAUGUCACAGAAAUUAACAGGGCAGCCAAUUCCCAUCCAGAGGGGCCCAGGAUGACCCCGAACCCUCUAGCUCAGCCCCAAGCUCGGGCCAGGGAGUGAAGCCUUUGUCCCCAAGCAACAGAGUGAGGGUCUGUCUCUAACCCGGUGGGCUCCAGUGAAAGGAAAAUGGCCUGGAGGUGCCCACAGGAGGGCGCCCUAGUUCUGAGACAGGUCUACGGCUCCCAGACUGCGUCCCCAUGAGUAACAGAGGGACACGCAGAGGGGCAUACUGAGUGCCUAUAGGGGACUCACAGACUGCAGAUGCACGCUGCGGAUCCAGAAGCCGGUCAGGUAAUGAGGUGCAGAGGUGUGGGGAAGACCUGGGUGCUUCCCUGGGUGCCAACCAGCCUAACCCGCCGGGGCCACCAAACAGAAGUGCUUCUGACAUUAACGCGACACACAGAAGGUGUGUAGGGUGGGUAGUGGAAGUGACCGCAGAGGCCUCUGGGGAUUGUAGUUUUGGAGCUAGAGAGGCGGGCAAGCAGUUGGCUUCGCCCACACGGUGUGCCUCUCACAUCUGCACAGCGCACACAACCAAGCUUAGGAGCCGACUGUUAAGAUGCCCCAGUGACACGGACAAGUUUCUCCUCUGCAACCCAAUGAGAGCUGCUGACCACGAGAGCAUCGCGGGACCGCCAAAGGAUUCUGGAAAAUGUGGUCCCGGGUGGCCAGUGUGCGCUGACCUUCACCUGAAGGUACGGCUUGAAGGAAACUUCUGGAGGGUGGGGUGGUGUUGAAGAGAAGGCACAAUUGUCACCAUUUUGUUCAACAUGGGCGUUUUCUUUGUGCAUUGAUUUGCAUUUUUAAAGGUAUUCCAUUAAAAAUAUGUUUAUCUAUUUUAAUGUUUUUUUUGGUGCCCCUUUAAAUUCUCUAUCCACAGUCCUGAGCCUUAAUACGAAGUGAGGGCCUGGCCUCUGGGCAUCAAGCAGCCAGAAAGUCCCUUAGGAGCUUUCUCUGAAUUGUUGAAUUGUGACUGAUCUUUUCCUUUCCUGACUUCCUUAAUAUCCACAAUUUCCUCGUAACCAUCCCCCCAAAGCCACACCCACAAGGCACCUCCAAGACCUAUCAUGAAGCAGAUAUUCAAAGAUUAUUUGUAAAUCUUCACACCCCACCCCUUCCAGAAUGUCUUCCAACAUCCCUUCGCCUGGAGAAAUAAAACACAAGGUUUGCA
ensembl:lncRNA novel transcript